rnacentral:rRNA from 1 species
AUUGAACGCUGGCGGCAGGCCUAACACAUGCAAGUCGAGCGGAGCGGAGGACGGGGGAGGAAUGCCAAGGAAUCAGCCUGGUAGUGGGGGAUAAGGUCCGGGAACGGGCGCUAAAACAGCAUACUAUUAGAUGAGCCUAGGUCGGAUUAGGUAGUUGGUGGGGUAAAGGCCUACCAAGGCGACGAUCCGUAACUGGUCUGAGAGGAUGAUCAGUCACACGGGAACUGAGACACGGUCCAGACUCCUACGGGAGGCAGCAGUGGGGAAUAUUGGACAAUAGGCGAAAGCCUGAUCCAGCCAUGCCGCGUGUGUGAAGAAGGUCUUCGGAUUGUAAAGCACUUUAAGUUGGGAGGCGUUACCAACAGAAUAAGCACCGGCUAACUUCGUGCCAGCAGCCGCGGUAAUAC